rnacentral:pre_miRNA from 1 species
GCAAAACUGGAAACUACCGUAAGAUCGAAAAAUGUACGUCUGAGAUUCAUCCACGUCAUUGCGAGUAAAAUUUUUACUCCCAGUAAAACUUUUACUCCUGAUUAAAUCUGGGAGUAAAAAUUUUACUCGAAGUGACGUGGACGAAUCUCAUAUGUCUAUUUUUUGAUCCUACGGUAGUUCCAAGUUUAC